rnacentral:misc_RNA from 1 species
GGAGGGAUCAUUAACACAAAAAAUAAAACCAAAUUUUCUCUUUUUUGAUUUCUCUCGAAAGGGAGGAUGAAAGAAAGGGGAAAGGAGAUGGGUUUACUCCAGUCUCCAAACAACCUUGAAGCGUUAAAGUCUUAUGUAACCUCAUCUAGUGGGUUUCAUGUUCACUUUUGGGGCGACACAAAACUAUUUUUACCUUUAAACUCUGUGAGAGAAAAAACGAGGGUGCUUUUUUGAGGGGAGUCUCUCCCUUCCUUUAAUCCACUCAAGUAAAAAAAUUAUAAUUAGAGAACAACUUUUAACAACGGAUAUCUUGGUUCUCGCAACGAUGACGAGCGCAGCGAAAUGCGAUACUUAGUGUGAAUUGCAGAAUUCAGUGAAUCAUCGAGACCUUGAACGCAAAUUGCACCUGCAAGUUCUCUUGCAGGUACAUCUGUUUGAGUGUCGACUACCAAUCACCCAAAAACAAAUGAGAGUUUGUUCGAGGGAGGAAGUGGGUGUCUAAUAAUUUUCUUAUUAGUCGCUUGAAAUAUAGCAAAAUCGAAAGAAAUUCCCGUCAGGAAGAAGUGUCCAUCCACUGAUUUCGAAAACGGUGUAGUAACGAAAAGACGUUUCUGUGGAAACUUUUUUUGAGAAUCAUCGGGAGUAAAAGUUGGGUUUUAAAGGUGAGAGGGUUCUUUAGACUAUUUCUUACGAUUAAAAAGAUGAAAUAAAAAGUCAGCUUAUAAGCUACGGGAGAGAGGCACUACGUGUCACUUUUUCAUAGUGAAAAACUUCGACCUCAAAUCAGAUGAGAACACCCGCUGAACUUAAGCAUAUUAAUAAGCGGAGGAAAAGAAACUAACAAGGAUUCCCCCAGUAACUGCGAGUGAAGUGGGAAAAGCUCAAGCUUAAAAUCCGGGGCAGUCUAUGUCUCUGAAUUGUAGUUUUGUGAACGGUUUCACGGGUAAACUGCUGUAGUAUAAGUCCUCUGGAACGAGGUGCCAAAGAAGGUGAUAGCCCUGUGCAUGACUACAGUGUCCAUGGUUUGCCAAUACGUGUUGCUAGUUCGAAGAGUCGGGUUGUUUGGGAGUACAGCCCAAAGUGGGAGGUAAAUUCCUUCUAAAGCUAAAUAAUGGCGAGAGACCGAUAGCGAACAAGUACCGUGAGGGAAAGAUGCAAAGAACUUUGAAAAGAGAGUUAAAAGUGCUUGAAAUUGUUAAAAGUGAAGCGAUUGGAAGCAGUACAUGUCGGCUAUCAACUCAUUCAUUUAUGUAGUGUUGGUGUGGUAUCGUCGAGUGGUCCUUCGCGAUCAUCGCGGUGUUAUAUCCUGGCAUUGCAUGAGUGGAGCAUUUUGGUGGUUCGAUGAGUCAAUAUCAGUGAGUGAAGUGGGAGAAUGGCUUGGAGGAGGUGAUACGUCUGUAGUUCUCGGAUUAUUGAUGUGUGUUAGACUCUGGGUAAAUACCAUUUCGCUGACUGAGGCAACUUAUGGUUGAUAACUGGCGCCUUCUUGGCGGGGUAAAAGUGGGACUGUGUUGUGUUGGCGGUGAGGACAGCAUGCUGUGCUUGUUGCCCAAUGUGAUGCAUGGCCUACUUACCACUAGCUAGUUAGAGAUAUUGACCGAAUGUUUCCAAUCGUCCCGUCUUGAAACACGGACCAAGGAGUCUAACAUAUGUGCGAGUGAAUGAGUGACAAACUUAUACGCGUAAUGAAAGUGAGAGGUGGGAGUUGUAAAAAACGCACCAUCGACCAAUCUUGAUAUUUUUGGAUGGAUUUGAGUUGGAGCAUAUAUGUUGGGACCCGAAAGAUUGCGAACUAUGCUUGCAUAGGGUGAAGCCAGGCGAAAGUCUGGUGGAGGCUCGUAGCGAUACUGACGUGCAAAUCGUUCGUCAAAUGUGGGUAUAGCGGCGAAAGACUAAUCGAGCAAUCUAGUAGCUGGUUUCCUC